GAAAUGCGAUAAGUAGUGUGAAUUGCAGAAUUCAGUGAAUCAUCGAAUCUUUGAACGCACAUUGCGCCCUUUGGUAUUCCUUAGGGCAUGCCUGUUCGAGCGUCAUCUAAACCUUCAAGCCCUGCUUGGUGUUGGGUGCCAGUCCCGCCUCCGCGCGCGGACUCACCUCAAAUCCAUUGGCGGCCCCCGCGUCGGCCACGAGCGCAGCAGAAACGCGAACUCGUGAGCCCGUCCGGGCGGCUCCCAGAAGCUACACCCACCCAGUUUGACCUCGGAUCAGGUAGGGAUACCCGCUGAACUUAAGC
rnacentral:misc_RNA from 1 species